UUUGGUUUGGAAUAACACGAGGAAACUUGUGCUAAUACUAAAUAAGCCUUCACAGGGAAAGCUUUAGCGCCAAAGGAUGAGCCUGCACUUGAUUAGCUUGUUGGUAAGGUAAUGGCUUACCAAGGCUACGAUCAAUAGCUGAUCUGAGAGGAUGAUCAGCCACAUUGGGACUGAGACACGGCCCAAACUCCUACGGGAGGCAGCAGUGGGGAAUCUUGCACAAUGGGGGAAACCCUGAUGCAGCGAUGCCGCGUGAGUGAAGAAGGCCCUUGGGUUGUAAAGCUCUUUCGUCGGGGAAGAAAAUGACUGUACCCGAAUAAGAAGGUCCGGCUAACUUCGUGCCAGCAGCCGCGGUAAUACGAAGGGACCUAGCGUAGUUCGGAAUUACUGGGCUUAAAGAGCACGUAGGUGGUUAGAAAAGUUGGUGGUGAAAUCCCAGAGCUUAACUCUGGAACUGCCACCAAAACUUUUUGACUAGAGUAUGAUAGAGGUAAGCGGAAUUUCUAGUGUAGAGGUGAAAUUCGUAGAUAUUAGAAAGAACACCAAUUGCGAAGGCAGCUUUCUGGAUCAUUACUGACACUGAGGUGCGAAAGCAUGGGUAGCGAAGAGGAUUAGAUACCCUCGUAGUCCAUGCUGUAAACGAUGUGUGCUAGAUGUUGGGAAUUUUAUUCUCAGUGUC
rnacentral:rRNA from 1 species